CUAACAGGAGCCUUGGCGUCCGUAACCAUCUCUGCUGGGGCUUGUCUUUAAACGAGGGCUGGCAGCCUUUUAGGGCAGUAAUUCGUACCGUUAAAAGACCCGAAGCUUGGAAUGCGGGUGCGGGUCUCAGACGUGGGGAUAAGAGCACCUGGGGGUGCAGGUGGGCUGCAGGGGUCUGCCCGCCGGACAGGCUGGGAGCGCGGCCCCACGGAGCUGUCUGCUGCUCACCGGCAAAUCCCCGGCUCCCAGCCCCCUCGGCCGCGGCUCCCUGCCCCCUCAGCUGGGUCGCCGAGGCAGGCCGAGGGGCGCGCUGGGGCAGGAAAGCCCAUCCGGGGAAGGAAGGGGAAGGGGGCAAAUGGCGGGCAGCCUGGCAGGAGGAAAUGCUGGAACACCACACAACUUUUUCAUGGCCAGCGUUAUUCUGGAGCCCUAGAAGCCGGGAGUGUUUUGCUCCUCUUCCUGAUCUUUAUUGUGAGGCAGGGGAUGAACUUCAGCCUUUGAAACUCUGGGCUAACACUGAGAAAAUCUCCAGCAUGACUCCUCUGUGUUUGGAAGUAACCAGUUCUUCAUGCAUAGACAGCUAUCUUUUAGGACACUUGGCGAAUAUUAAUUAGCUCAGCCUCUAACUGUUCCUGUAAAGUAGGUUCUACACAAUCCUCAUUUAGGAACUUGGUGUUGCAGGAGUCAGGUUGAAGAGUCUCCGUCAGCUCAUGCCCAAGUCUGGUCCAGUGUUCAGAAUGCACAAAAGUUACAUUGUAGAAUUGAGUUUGGGGCUCUGCUCUUAAGUAAAGUUCCACUUCUCUGGCCAAGCAUGGCAUAAUUGCACCAAAGGAGAGCUGACCACUUACCAGCAUCAAUAAAUGUAACAUUUAAAAUAA